rnacentral:lncRNA from 1 species
GCUCAAUAUUUUGUCCAUUAUUUCCUCCGCCGUUGCUUCUAUGUUUUAUUAUCCAUUAUUCUUGGCGCCUCUGCUUCAAGCUUUUUGACUUUGUUGACAUGCUUGCUUCAGGGAUUUUUAGUCUUUUUGCUCAACAUUUUGUCCAUUGUUUCCACCACCAUUGCUUCUAUGUUUUAUUAUCCAUUAUUCUUCUCGCCUCUUUUUAAAGAUUUUUCUAGGUUUUUCUACUGGAAUGGUUCCCCAAUUUCUAUGUACAAUCAAACUACAGUAUUAGCAAAUCAACAUCAGCAACAAGAUUUUCAGAGUGAGUUCUAUUGUUUCAAAUUUCAACUCCUUAUGUGCUUCUGGUGAAUAAUUAAUUUGAACGGUUGGAUAACUCUUCUUCUGCUUAAUUAUGGUUUCUUUAAGCUGAAUUCUAGAUUAUUCAGUGGGAGAGGGUCGUUCUUCAUUUUUCAUGUUUCUAUUUUAAAUCGUGGAGUUUCUUGACUUCUAUUUAUAAAUUGAUUGUUUGAAUGUUUGUUAAUUUGGGGAAAAAGAAGCAGGCUAUUUCUGCGAAUCCUUCACUUCAUUCAAUAUUUGCUCUUUAGCUAUUUCUGAAAAUUCUCCAAUCAAGUUGCAUAAGAAAUUCAUGGAUAUUUGAAAUAUUCUUCUUAAGAUGAAUAAUUUUCAUGGUGUAAUACCCCGGGAAAUUUUUCAUUGAAAUUUUGUGCGUAAACGUGUUGGGUUCUAUCUUCUAGAAUGAAUUAUAAAUUUUUCGUAUGGAAUGUCUUAGAUUAUGACCCACCAUUAUGUAGAUUAUCAAAUAAUCUUUCCAACGAUAUGUGGAUCAUCCAAAACGGACACCCGAG